rnacentral:rRNA from 1 species
AUACGGAGGGUGCAAGCGUUACUCGGAAUCACUGGGCGUAAAGCGCGCGCAGGCGGCCUGAUAAGUUGGAUGUGAAAGCCUACGGCUCAACCGUAGAACUGCAUCCAAAACUGUCAGGCUAGAGUGUGAGAGAGGAAGAUGGAAUUAGUUGUGUAGGGGUAAAAUCCGUAGAGAUAACUAGGAAUACCAAAAGCGAAGGCAAUCUUCUGGAACACUACUGACGCUGAGGCGCGAAGGCGUGGGGAGCAAACAGGAGUAGAAACCCCGGUAGUCC